rnacentral:rRNA from 1 species
AUACGUAGGUGACAAGCGUUAUCCGGAUUUACUGGGCGUAAAGGGCGUGUAGGCGGUCUUGCAAGUCAGAAGUGAAAUUCCUGAGCUCAACUCGGGCGCUGCUUCUGAAACUGCAGGACUUGAGUGCUGGAGGGGAUAGCGGAAUUCCUAGUGGAGCGGUAAAAUGCGCAGAUAUUAGGAAGAACACCGGUGGCGAAGGCGGCUAUCUGGACAGUAACUGACGCUGAGGCGCGAAAGCGUGGGGAGCAAACAGGAUUAGAUACCCUGGUAGUCCACGCCGUAAACGAUGAGUACUAGGUGUAGGGGGUAUCGACUCCCUCUGUGCCGCAGUUAACACAAUAAGUAUUCCGCCUGGGGAGUACGGCCGCAAGGUUGAAACUCAAAUGAAUUGGCGGGG